UACGUAGGGGGGCAAGCGUUUGUCCGGAUUUUAUUGGGGCGUAAAGAGCGUGUAGGCGGCUAGGUAGGUCCGUUGUGAAAACUCGAGCUCAACCUCGAGACGCCGGUGGAAACCAUCUAGCUAGAGUCCGGAAGAGGAGAGUGGAAUUCCUGGUGUAGCGGUGAAAUGACGCAGAUAUCAGGAGGAACACCAAUUGCGAAGGGCAGCUCGCUGGGGACGUUACUGACGCUGAGACGCGAAAGCGUUGGGGGAGCAAACAGG
rnacentral:rRNA from 1 species